UCGGGUUGAGACUAAGCCAUGCAAGUCGAGCGUUUUCAAGCUAUGUUGAAAGCGCGGCAUAAGGCUCCGUAACGCGUAGUUAACCUACCCUCAGGAUGGAGAUAACCCCUGGGAAACUGGGACUAAUAUCCAAUAAAUGAUUAUGCCUGGAAUGGUUUAUCAUUGAAAGGGCUGAAUACAUGCUUUCAGUAUCACCUGAGGAUGGGACUGCGUCCGAUCAGGUUGUUGGCGGGGUAACGGCCCACCAAGCCUAUAACCGGUACGGGCCCUGAGAGGGGGAGCCCGGAGAUGGAAACUGAGACAAGGUUCCAGGCCCUACGGGGCGCAGCAGGCGCGAAACCUCCACAAUGCGCGAAAGCGUGAUGGGGUUAGCCCGAGUGCUGUCCGAAAAGGAUGGCUUUUCCUUGGCGUAAAAACUCAAGGGAAUAAAGGGGGGGCAAGACUGGUGUCAGCCGCCGCGGUAAUACCAGCCCCCUGAGUGGUAAGGACGAUUAUUUGGCUUAAAGCGUCCGUAGCCGGCUUAGUGAGUCUCUUGUUAAAUCCAAUGAUUCAAUCAUUGAACAGCAAGAGAUACUACUAUGCUAGAGGACGGGAGAGGUCGACGGUAGUCCAAGGGUAGGGGUGAAAUCCUAUAAUCCUUGGAGGACCACCAGUGGCGAAGGCGGUCGACUAGAACGUGCCUGACGGUGAGGGACGAAAGCUGGGGGAGCGAACCGGAUUAGAUACCCGGGUAGUCCCAGCUGUAAACGAUGCGGGCUAGGUGUAGGGGCAGCUACGAGCUGCUCCUGUGCCGCAGAGAAAUUGUUAAGCCCGCCGCCUGGGGAGUACGAUCGCAAGAUUGAAACUUAAAGGAAUUGGCGGGGGAGCACCACAAGGGGUGAAGGCUGCGGUUUAAUUGGAUUCAACGCCGGA
rnacentral:rRNA from 1 species